CUAAGUGAUUCCAAGUGAAAAGAGGGUGAAACAGUCAAAGAGAAACAGAAACAAGAAGCUGGAAUUUUUGAACAGCUUUGUUACUCCACAGUUUUGAGGCGACUUUUCGACGUUGAGCGAAAAAGGGAAUUGAUACACACUCCAUAGGAGCUUACACACAUAAAGGCGAAAGGGCACCGAGGCAUGUGAGGCAUGCUUAUGUGAUAU